CUUAUCUAUUAAUUUUUCUGCUUUUAUUUUCUGAUUAUGCCUAAUUUAAAAGUGUUUUGGGGUUACAUUUAGUCAUACAUAUAUGGUUGUUUGAGCCUUUUAUUAGCCAUGAUUCACUGUGCAUAUCAGCACAGCGUGGAGCUGGUGCCUUCAGCGUGUGUCUGCUCCAGGAUGCUCAGUUAUCUCCCUGCCCCGAGCUAUCCAAAGGAUGGAUUUGCAUGGACACUGCUCCCCCACGGAGGAGAAUGCCAGGAAUGACCGGUCUGGUGCUACCUGGCCAGGUGAGCUUCCAUUCAAAUAAUGCACAUGCCACCAGGACAAUUCAGAUCAAAGGUCUGCCUUUGACAGAAUUCAAAUGUAAGGACUUCCAAAGCAGAUUUAGCAGCUGGCUUUACGAAUGAACUUAUGUCAGCUGCUCUGUAUGAUGAGUGACUAAAUGACUUCUGUAUCUAAUCUUAUCUCACUAUCUGUCUGUCUGUUUUUCAGCAUUUCAGUGCCCAUCACCACAUUAUCCAGGCGCCACCAGAAGAUUAAGAAGCUUUGCAGUGACAUUCUCAACCAGAUAUUUACCUGGAUUUUGCCGCUGGUCCCAUGGCCACAGCUGAAGGGAAAUUCCCUCUCUGGUGUCACCCAGCCAGGACACCUGGGCUCAGAAUCCCUGUCAGAAACGUCCACCCCCAGUUGUGUGAGGAUGGCAGAGGCUGGAGAAACGAGCAAAACUCAUUUUCUGCCGGAGCCGCCGGAGCCACCGCGCCCCUUGCGCUUCGCAAAGCGGCUCCAGGCACUUUCUCUGCUUCUUGUGAUUCCCUUCCUGAAUUGCUGCAGCCAAGUAAUUGUUUCAUCAUGUUGCUCUGAAAUAUUUUCCCAUCGUGUCACCAUGGCGUUCAUUUUUCAAACCAAAGUUCCUCUGCUCGCUUUUAGCAGCCGCAUCCCAAAGCAGCGGCGCCAGGUGUGGAGGGAGCGCGGCUGCCGGGGCUCGGGGCUCGGGGCGCAUUUUGGGAUUCCCGUCACUGUCACUGCUGGGCACCGCUCACCACGGCCAGAAUGAGCUGCUGUUGCAACGCCCUGGCAAAGGCAGCUUUUUGUUUUAUAGCAAACAAACAAGUCUGGGUCCGUGUGGGGCUGGGACCGGAGCCUCCCGCGGCCGCCUGGCCAAAGCCCCGCUCGCUGCAGCGGUGUCUGAGCUCCAGCCCAUCCCUGCCAGGGCUGAGCCAGAGCUUCUCCAGCCUCCCCUCCCACGGGAUUUAUUCUGCAAAGUGUGUGAAAUUAGGAGACACAACUAAAUCCUCUGAUUAAAUACCCUGAACUCUG